GACGAACGCUGGCGGCGUGGAUUAGGCAUGCAAGUCGAACGGUAUCAUCCUUUCGGGGGUGAGAGAGUGGCGAACUGGUGAGUAACACGUAGGUUAUCUACCCUCAAGACGGGGACAACCCAGGGAAACUUGGGCUAAUACCGGAUGUGAGCAACUUUUAGUUGUUUGAAAGGUGGCGUAAGCUGUCGCUUGGGGAUGAGCCUGCGUCCUAUUAGUUAGUUGGUGAGGUAACGGCUCACCUAGGCAAUGAUAGGUAGGCGGCCUUAACGGGUGGUCGCCCACACUGGGAUUGAGAUACGGCCCAGACUCCUACGGGAGGCAGCAGUCGAGAAUAGUCUACAAUGGUCGGAAGACUGAUAGUGCGACGCCGCGUGAACGAUGAAUCCCUUCGGGGUGUAAAGUUCUUUUAUAUGUGAGCAGUGCUUCUUAUAUUAACAGUAUGGGGAGAGAGAUAUUAGCAUAUGAAUAAGCAAACGGCUAAACUCCGUGCCCAGCAGCCGCGGU
rnacentral:rRNA from 1 species